rnacentral:rRNA from 1 species
AACAAACGCUGGCGGCGUGCCUAACACAUGCAAGUCGUACGAGAAAGGGUCCUUCGGGGCCUGAGUAAAGUGGCGCACGGGUGAGUAACGCGUGGAUAAUCUGCCCUUCAGUUGGGAAUAACUCAUCGAAAGGUGGGCUAAUACCGAACAAUGCUGUAAGACCUCGGUUGAUCAGCCAAAGAGAGCCUCUGCUUGCAAGCCCUCGCUGAAGGAGGAGUCCGCGGUCCAUUAGCUAGUUGGUAGGGAAAUGGCCUACCAAGGCGACGAUGGUUAGCUGGUCGUAGAGGAUGAUCAGCCACACUGGAACUGAGACACGGUCCAGACUCCUACGGGAGGCAGCAGUGAGGAAUCUUGCGCAAUGGGGCAACCCUGACGCGGCAACGCCGCGUGAGUGAGGAAGGUCUUCGGAUCGUAAAGCUCUGUCGGAUGGAAAGAACCGCAUAGGGGUAAACAGCCCCUGUGUCUGACGGUACCAUCAAAGGAAGCACCGGCUAACUCCGUGCCAGCCGCCGCCGUAACAC